GUCCAGACUCCUACGGGAGGCAGCAGUGGGGAAUAUUGCACAAUGGGGGAAACCCUGAUGCAGCAACGCCGCGUGAGUGAAGAAGUAUUUCGGUAUGUAAAGCUCUAUCAGCAGGGAAGAAAAUGACGGUACCUGACCAAGAAGCCCCGGCUAACUACGUGCCAGCAGCCGCGGUAAUACGUAGGGGGCAAGCGUUAUCCGGAUUUACUGGGUGUAAAGGGAGCGUAGACGGCAAGGCAAGUCUGGAGUGAAAGCCCGUGGCUCAACCACGGGACUGCUCUUGGAACUGCGUGGCUGGAGUGCAGGAGGGGCAGGCGGAAUUCCUGGUGUAGCGGUGAAAUGCGUAGAUAUCAGGAGGAACACCGGUGGCGAAGGCGGCCUGCUGGACUGCAACUGACGUUGAGGCCCGAAAGCGUGGGGAGCAAACAGGAUUAGAUACCCCAGUA
rnacentral:rRNA from 1 species